rnacentral:misc_RNA from 1 species
GAUGAAGAACGCAGCGAAAUGCGAUAAGUAAUGUGAAUUGCAGAAUUCAGUGAAUCAUCGAAUCUUUGAACGCACAUUGCGCCCCCUGGUAUUCCGGGGGGCAUGCCUGUCCGAGCGUCAUUACAACCCUCAAGCUCAGCUUGGUGUUGGGCCCCGCCGCCCCGGCGGGCCCUAAAGUCAGUGGCGGUGCCGUCCGGCUCCGAGCGUAGUAAUUCUUCUCGCUCUGGAGGUCCGGUCGUGUGCUCGCCAGCGACCCCCAAUUUUUUUCAGGUUGACCUCGGAUCAGGUAGGGAUACCCGCUGAACUUAAGCAUAUCAAUAAGCGGAGGA